rnacentral:rRNA from 1 species
AGAGUUUGAUCCUGGCUCAGGAUGAACGCUGGCGGCGUGCCUAACACAUGCAAGUCGAACGAUUGAGAGGCGGGAGCCGAGAGGUUAGAAGUGAGAUAAUGUGAAACGUCGGUUUAGUUUCAUAUUGUCGGGGAACCUGAUUUAAAAAAAGGUUUUAGAUAACUAGAAUCUUUUCAAACCCCGGAUUAUUCCAUAAUGGAGGUAAACCUUGCUAACAAGGUCCCACUUCCCACUUCUCGCAUCCCGUCACUCAGUAGUGGCGGAUGGGUGAGUAACGCGUGGGCAACCUGCCCUAUACAGGGGGAUAACAAUGGGAAACCAUUGCUAAUACCCCAUAACACCUUUUGGUGGCAUCACUAAAAGGUCAAAGAAUUUCGGUAUAGGAUGGGCCCGCGUCUGAUUAGCCAGUUGGUGGGGUAACGGCUCACCAAAGCGACGAUCAGUAGCCGGCCUGAGAGGGUGAACGGCCACACUGGAACUGAGACACGGUCCAGACUCCUACGGGAGGCAGCAGUGGGGAAUAUUGCACAAUGGGGGAAACCCUGAUGCAGCAACGCCGCGUGAGCGAUGAAGGUUUUCGAAUCGUAAAGCUCUGUCCUAAGGGAAGAUAAUGACGGUACCUUAGGAGGAAGCCCCGGCUAACUACGUGCCAGCAGCCGCGGUAAUACGUAGGGGGCAAGCGUUAUCCGGAAUUAUUGGGCGUAAAGGGUGCGUAGGCUGCCUUAUGGGUCAGAGGUUAAAGGCUACGGCUUAACCGUAGCAUGCCUUUGAAACUAUAGGGCUUGAGUGCAGGAGAGGAGAGUGGAAUUCCUAGUGUAGCGGUGAAAUGCGUAGAUAUUAGGAGGAAUACCAGUGGCGAAGGCGACUCUCUGGACUGCAACUGACGCUAAGGCACGAAAGCGUGGGUAGCGAACAGGAUUAGAUACCCUGGUAGUCCACGCCAUAAACGAUGAGUGCUAGGUGUUGGGGGUCAAACCUCGGUGCCGCAGUUAACGCAUUAAGCACUCCGCCUGGGGAGUACGUUCGCAAGAAUAAAACUCAAAGGAAUUGACGGGGACCCGCACAAGCAGCGGAGCAUGUGGUUUAAUUCGAAGCAACGCGAAGAACCUUACCUGGAUUUGACAUCCCUCUGACCGUUUCUUAACCGAGACCUUUCCUUCGGGAACAGAGGAGACAGGUGGUGCAUGGUUGUCGUCAGCUCGUGUCGUGAGAUGUUGGGUUAAGUCCCGCAACGAGCGCAACCCUUGUCUUUAGUUGCCAUCCCGACACUCAAGUGGGUGUUUGCCAUAUCAUUCAAACAUACAAAAAAUACAUGAGGAUCAAAAUCAAUAAUACAGGCAAAUACUUAGUUGAGUGUCGGGGGCACUCUAAAGAGACUGCCAAGGUAAACUUGGAGGAAGGUGGGGAUGACGUCAAAUCAUCAUGCCCCUUAUGUUCAGGGCUACACACGUGCUACAAUGGCCGAUACAACGGGCAGCUAAGGAGCAAUCCGGAGCAAAUCCUACAAAAUCGGUCCCAGUUCGGAUUGUGGGCUGCAAUUCGCCCACAUGAAGUCGGAGUUGCUAGUAAUCGCGAAUCAGAAUGUCGCGGUGAAUGCGUUCCCGGGUCUUGUACACACCGCCCGUCACACCACGGAAGUCGGAAGCACCCGAAGCCAGCUACUUAACCGUAAGGAUGGAGCUGUCGAAGGUGAAGCCAAUGACUGGGGUGAAGUCGUAACAAGGUAGCCGUAUCGGAAGGUGCGGCUG